rnacentral:snRNA from 1 species
AGACGGCCGAUCGGACUUUGG